CCGGUGAGAAAUAAGAAGUACAAGAGCACAGGAUGCGCCUUGGGUCAGGGGGACGUGAAGAGCCUGCGGUCUUUGUAUCCUUCUCUGGGUUGGAGCUGUUGCAACAGCUCAGCCCUCAGCUCCCCUCAGAGCACAGCUGGGAGCCGGAGUCUAAGCUCCAGUGACUACUGUGUCUGUGGGGCUUCUAGCCUCCCGCCCAAGAGGACACAGAGGCCAGAAUGGCCACCUCUAGGGACCUGCUCCUGCUGCUCCUCUUAGGCCAGUUCUGGGCAGGGACUGGAGCUGACCCAGAGGCCGUGGUGUGCACGGGGACUGCUUGCUACACGGCCCACUGGGGCAAGUUGAGUGCCGCGGAGGCUCAGCACCACUGCAGUGUGAACGGAGGCAACCUAGCCACGGUGAAGAGCGAGGAGGAGGCCCGGCAUGUCCAGCGAGCCCUGGCCCAGCUCCUGAAGCCAGAGAAGCCCCUUGAAGCGAAGAUGGGCAAGUUCUGGAUUGGGCUCCAGCGGGAGAAGGGCAAGUGCUUGGACCCCAACCUGCUGCUGAAGGGCUUCAGCUGGGUGGGUGGAGGGGAGGACUCCCUGUAUGCAAAUUGGCACAAGGAGGUGAGGAGCUCUUGCAUCUCCAAGCGCUGUGUGUCCCUGUUGCUGGACCUGUCCCUUACACCCCUCCCCAGCCGCCUCCCCAAGUGGUCUGACAGCCCCUGUGGGACCCCUGGCUCUCCAGGAAGCAGUAUUGAGGGCUUUGUAUGCAAGUUCAGCUUCAAAGGCAUGUGUCAGCCACUGGCUCUGGGGGGCCCAGGCCAGGUGACCUACAGCACCCCCUUCCAGGCCACCACCUCCUUCCUGGAGGUUGUGCCUUUUGCCUCUGUGGCCAAUGUAGCCUGUGGGGAUGGGGCUGAAAGUACAAGUCAUUAUUUCCUGUGCAAGGAGAAGGAUCCCGAUGUGUUUGACUGGGGCAACUCAGGUCCCCUCUGUGUCAGCCCCAAGUAUGGAUGUAACUUCAACAACGGGGGCUGCCAGCAAGACUGUUUCGAAGGGGGGGAUGGCUCCUUCCGCUGCGGCUGCCGGCCAGGGUUCCGGCUGCAGGACGACUUAGUGACCUGCGCCUCUCGGAAUCCUUGCAGCUCCAGCCCGUGCAAAGGGAAGGCCAUAUGUGUCCCUGGACCCUAUGAGAAAGAUUAUACAUGCCGCUGCCCUCAGGGCUUCCGCCUAGACUCCAGUCAGGUGCACUGUGUGGAUGUGGAUGAGUGCCAGGACUCCCCCUGUGCUCAGGAGUGUAUCAACACCCCUGGGGGAUUCCACUGUAAAUGCUGGGUGGGCUACAAACCUGGUGGCCCCGAAGAGGAGACCUGCUGGGAUGUGGAUGAGUGUGCCCUCGGCCACUCACCCUGUGCCCAGCGCUGUAUCAACACUGAUGGCUCCUUCCACUGCUCCUGUGAGGAGGGCUAUGUCUUGUCUGGGGAGGACAGCACCCAAUGUGAGGAUGUGGAUGAGUGUUCUGACCCCAGGGGCAGCCCUUGUGACAGCUUGUGCUUCAACACUCAGGGAUCCUUCAACUGUGGCUGCCUGAGGGACUGGGAGCUGGCCCCCAAUGGGGUCUCUUGUAUCAUGAGCCCUGUGUCCUCAGGAACACCAUCUGGGCCUCCCCAAGAGGAAGAAAAGGGAGAGAGAGAGGGGAGCACUGUGCCUCCUACCACAACAUCCAGCUUCCCCAAGGACUCUGAGAAUACCUCCAAGGGUGCAUCCACCACAAGGAGACCUUCCCUCUCAUCCAAUGCCCCCACUGCCUCAGCCCUUCUGGAGAUGUCAGCCCCCAGUGGGGCCCCUGGCUUGUGGGCAGAGCCAGACACCCACCUCCUUACGGCUACUGCUGGCCACAGCAAGGCUACAGGUGAGAAUUCUGUGGCCACCCAGAGUGAUGACGGCACCGACGGUCAAAAGCUGCUUCUGUUCUAUAUCCUGGGCACAGUGGUGGCCAUCUCACUCCUGCUGGCUCUGGCUCUGGGACUUCUGGUCUACCGCAAGCGGAGAGCCAAGAGGGAGGAGAUGAAGGAGAAGAAGCCCCAGAGUGCGACUGAUAGUUACUCCUGGGUACCAGAGCGAGCAGAGAGCCGGGCCACGGAGAAUCAGUACAGUCCAACACCUGGGACAGACUGCUGAUGGUGAGAUGGCCCUAGAGAUACAGUCAGCUGCCAUCAUCCUUGGAGUUUUAAACUUCUCCUCUGAAGGGGAGAUCUUUGGAAAGACAGGACUGGAAUCUUAGCAAACAGUCAUACAACUUAAAAGCCUGGCAACCUGGAGCAUGCAGGUGCUUAAGAAGAGAACUAAUGAGUUUGUCCUUCACAGUCUCCUUAUGUUCUCAGGCUGAUCCUUUUCAGAGGAAAAAGUGGGCAGGUCACCAGUAAAAAUGUGAAGAAAGAGGCAAAAAGAGAGAAAUUCUGAUAAUGCUCAAGACCAGCAAUCAUUCCUGGGAAAUUUGAAUGGACAGAGGACCUCUCAGGGCUGCUCAGCACAGUGCUGGCCCUUUCUGAGUCUCCAGGGUGUUCAUAUCUGCAAUUCAUCACAAGUUGGGGGCCCUCGAUGAAUUUUAUUUGAGUUUUUGUUUUAUUUUGUUGAGGUUUAUCAUCAUUGGCUUCGAUGCUGAUAUUUCUCUUGUGGUUGGAAUUGGUCCAUAGCAUUCAAUUGAGUUGCAGGAAGAAAUAGAAGGAAGGAAAAAGGAAGGAAGGAAGUCAAGGAGGGAGGGAAGAGAAUAAAUGGGAGAGAAAGAGAA